rnacentral:misc_RNA from 1 species
UACAGAGCCCACAAACGUUAUCCGGAUUCAUUGGGCGUAAAGCGUCCGCAGGUGGUGUAGAAAGUCAGUAGUCAAAUCCUGAGGCUUAACUUCAGGACUGCUAUUGAUACUCCUACACUUGAGACCGGGAGAGGCAAGCGGAACACACGGUGUAGUCGUAAUAAGCGCUGAUAUCGUGUGGAACACCAAAGGCGAAGGCAGCUUGCUAGAACGUGUCUGACACUCAUGGACGAAAGCGUGGGGAGCGAAUGGG